GUCGAGCCUUGUAACUUGGGCUUGUGACCCAAGUGGGGGCAACAAUUUGGUGGAAUCUUGGGUUGAUCCAGCCAAAGGCUGGGCUUUGGGUGGCUAAUGUCAAGCCUGCCCUAUCCAAGCAUGGAGUUGAGUCAUGUGGCCCAAACGAAAGUAUGGGCUUCUUAGCUCCUAGAGGGGGGUGGACCGCGUGAGGCUGGUUUCACAGAGCAACGAACAGCUCAUGCUUCGUGGAGUGGAAGGAUAACGAGCUGGUGCUAUCCAAGUCCAAUAAAAAUCUAAUGGGCUUCUCCAAUCAAACCACUGCUUUU
rnacentral:SRP_RNA from 1 species